rnacentral:rRNA from 1 species
AAGCCCUAGCGGCGAACGGGUGAGUAACACGUGGGCAACCUGCCCCUAGCACUGGGAUAACUCCGGGAAACCGGGGCUAAUACCGGAUAUGACCUUGGAGGGCAUCCUCCUUGGUGUAAAGGAUUCUGGCUAGGGAUGGGCCCGCGGCCUAUCAGCUUGUUGGUGGGGUAACGGCCUACCAAGGCGACGACGGGUAGCCGGCCUGAGAGGGCGACCGGCCACACUGGGACUGAGACACGGCCCAG